rnacentral:rRNA from 1 species
GCAAGUCGAACGGUAGCAGGUCCUUCGGGGCGCUGACGAGUGGCGGACGGGUGAGUAAUGCGUAAGUAUCUACCCUAAAGAGUGGGAUAACCUGGGGAAACUCAGGCUAAUACCGCAUAAUCCUUAUUAGGCAAAGCAGGGGACCUUCGGGCCUUGCGCUUUAGGAUGAGCUUACGUCGGAUUAGCUUGUUGGUGGGGUAAAGGCCUACCAAGCCUGCGAUCUGUAGCUGGUCUGAGAGGAUGAUC